rnacentral:rRNA from 1 species
GGAAUUUUCCGCAAUGGGCGAAAGCCUGACGGAGCAAUCUCGUGUGAGGGAAGACUGCCUAUGGGUUGUAAACCUCUUUUUUCAGGGAGGAAUAAAAUGACGUGUACCUGAAGAAUAAGCAUCGGCUAACUCCGUGCCAGCAGCCGCGGUAAGACGGAGGAUGCAAGUGUUAUCCGGAAUCACUGGGCGUAAAGCGUCUGUAGGUGGUUUAAUAAGUCAACUGUUAAAUCUUGAGGCUCAACUUCAAAAUCGCAGUCGAAACUAUUAGACUAGAGAAUAGUAGAGGUAAAGGGAAUUUCCAGUGGAGCGGUGAAAUGCGUAGAUAUUGGAAAGAACACCGAUGGCGAAGGCACUUUACUGGGCUAUUACUGACACUCAGAGACGAAAGCUAGGGUAGCAAAUGGGAUUAGAUACCCCAGUAGUC